UACGUAGGGGGCAAGCGUUGUCCGGAAUCAUUGGGCGUAAAGCGCGUGUAGGCGGCCCGGUAAGUCCGCUGUGAAAGUCCAGGGCUCAACCCUGGGAUGCCGGUGGAUACUGUCGGGCUCGAGUCCGGAAGAGGCGAGUGGAAUUCCUGGUGUAGCGGUGAAAUGCGCAGAUAUCAGGAGGAACACCGAUGGCGAAGGCAGCUCGCUGGGACGUGACUGACGCUGAGACGCGAAAGCGUGGGGAGCGAACGGG
rnacentral:rRNA from 1 species